GGGGUUUCGUAAGCGAUGUGCGAAAGGAUCACCAAAACUUUAUACUUGAAACUGCGAAGGGGCCAUUAUAUCAGUUAUAAUUUAUUUGAAGGUCAUUGCUACUUGGAUAACCGUAGUAAUUCUAGAGCUAAUACAUGCAUAAAACCCUGACUUCUGGAAAGGGGGUACUUAUUACAUGGAAACCAAUGCGGGCCAACCCGAAUACUGGUGAUUCAUAAUAAUUUUCGGAUCGAUCAUAGGAUCGAUGCAUCAUUCACGUUUCUGCCCUAUCACCUUUGGAUGGUAGGGUAUUGGCCUACCAUGGCAUUAACGGGUAACGGAGAAUUAGGGUUCCAUUCCGGAGACGGAGCCUGAGAAAUGGCUACCACAUCCAAGGAAGGCAACAGGCGCGUAAAUUACCCAAUCCUGACACAGGGAGGUAGUGACAAUGAAUAACAAUGUCGGGCUUUUCUAAUUCUGACAAUUGUAAUGAGAACAAUUUAAAUCCCUUAUCCAGGAUCAAUUGGAGGGCAAGUCUGGUGCCAGCACCCGCGGUAAUUCCAGCUCCAAUACCGUAUACUAAUGUUGUUGCAGUUACAAAUCUCGCAGUUGAAUUUCUGCUCUCGGGACGCCGCCAGCCUCAAGGUGCGAUGCUGUGGAUCGCGACCAUCCUCGAGGAGAACAUAUCUGUCAUUGAUUUCUAUGGGUAUGGGACCCUCGUCAUUUACUGUGAGCAAAAUACAGUGUUCAAAGCAGGCUUACGCCGAUGAAUACAUUAGCAUGUAAUUAAUAAGAUAGGACCUUGGUCUAUUUCUUUUGUUUAUACUCCGAGGUAUUGAUUAAUAUGGGACAGUUGGGGCGUACUCGUAUUCUACUGUCACAUGUGCAAAUGCUUGUAUUUAUGGAAUACGACCUACUGCGAAACCAUUUACCAAGGAUGUAUUCAUUAAUCAAGAACAAAAGUAAGGCGAUCGAAGAUGAUUAGAUACCAUCGUAGUCGUACCAUAAACUAUGCCGACUAGGCAUUGUGGUUGUAUUAGCGACUUCAUCAGCAUCGUCAUGAAACAUCAAAAUCAUUCGGAUUCCUGUCGGGAGUAUGGUCGCAACGCUGCAACUGCACUGAAACUGACGCAGUCACCGACAGACUGAGCCUGGCGACUUAUUGGACUCAACUCGUUAACUUAGCAGUUCGAAACAUAGUCGAGCACGUGCCGAAUUGCACCUGCCUGAACUCUUAGCCCUUGCAUGCCAAUGCAGAGUCCUUGAGCUG
rnacentral:rRNA from 1 species